CCUACGGGGGGCUGCAGUGGGGAAUAUUGGACAAUGGGCGAAAGCCUGAUCCAGCCAUGCCGCGUGUGUGAAGAAGGCCUUCGGGUUGUAAAGCACUUUCAGUGGGGAAGAAAGCCUUGGGGCUAAUACCCUCGAGGAAGGACAUCACCCACAGAAGAAGCACCGGCUAACUCCGUGCCAGCAGCCGCGGUAAUACGGAGGGUGCGAGCGUUAAUCGGAAUUACUGGGCGUAAAGCGCGCGUAGGCGGUCUGAUAAACCGGUUGUGAAAGCCCCGGGCUCAACCUGGGAACGGCAUCCGGAACUGUCAGGCUAGAGUGCAGGAGAGGAAGGUAGAAUUCCCGGUGUAGCGGUGAAAUGCGUAGAGAUCGGGAGGAAUACCAGUGGCGAAGGCGGCCUUCUGGACUGACACUGACGCUGAGGUGCGAAAGCGUGGGUAGCAAACAGGAUUAGAUACCCUUGUAGUC
rnacentral:rRNA from 1 species